CUCUCUUAAAUUCAUAACAUGGUGGGACCAAUUGUUUCAACGAGGAAGUAUCAGGGGCAAAUUCUUAGAGGCAGGCUAAGGUUCUAAAGUGGAUUGAAGCUCACAUUACAGUUGUCCACAUAAGCUAUCAAAACUUUAUGAAAUCAGAAUUGUGUUAUAGAAAGAAUUUAGCUUUGAACUCUUUCUUCCUUUUGCAGGAAUAUUAUGGCUAAAGAUGGACCAAGAUGGAGAAAGACAUCUGAUUCAUAAAAGAUCUUGAGGAUUCAACCUGGUGCUUUUGAAUCUGUAGUGAAAAAUGACUGAAGACGCCUUGCUCUUCAGGUUAUCAGUGUAUACGUGGAUUCUAUUCGGACAACGUACAAAGUUUUGACUCAAUAAGUUCUUCAUCUUCCGAUGCAAUUGAACUGGACAUGGCUAUGGUGUUUGUCUACUUGCAGGUCAUCCAUCGAUCACCCUCCAAUUCAAACAUUGGGACUGAAGUCUAUUGUAAGUUGAGUAAUUUAUGUUCUGCAAAAUAUUAGUGUCAAAUUGCUUCUUUCCAUCCAAAUUGCCUCAAAUGACCUCUUAGAGAUCGAGACGAUUUGCAGAUCUAAGAGGACUUCAGUGGGCUAUUGUUGUGAGAAUUUUCCUUCUUCUCCUUUGUCCUCUAUCCCAAUUGACUCCCUUAGAAUUAAUUUUCUUUUUUAAUGAAGGGCUAUUACAGUAUUUCCUGAGUCAAUGCUCUUCUGUUAACUGAUUCUGCACAUGUAUUUACUCAUUGAUUAUUUUUUAUCAAUUUCGUAGCAGGUAAUGGUAUUAAGAACUUAUUGAGAAUAGAGAAAGGCUAUCUGAACAAAAUUUCACAAGAUACGUUGUGCGGGUUAUAUGUCCGGAGUGAUAUAUUGCUAUGUAAGAAAUCGUUCAACUGGACAAAGAAAGACGAUCUUGUUACAAGAAAAUGGCCUUAGAGGUAAUCAGCUUGAUCAAAGCAAACGUGUGUACCUCUUGCAUGGAAAUAUCAAAGCAAACAUGUGUACCUCUUGCAUGGAAGCACUAAGAGUUGAAUAUGAUAUCGUUGGCCCAGACGAGGACACACAGGGGAUGCAGCGUCUAAUGUUUGUUGUUUAUAGAUAACACAUGAUGUCUCUGAAGCUAAGAAUCUCAUUAGUCAGUUCUUGCGGACAACUUCUCAAAGAGACUUUCCCUUCAGAAGAUCUUGAAGCACCUGUGGAUAGUCAAGAAUGCUAAUUUGAAUGUAGACCUCUGAAAGUGACAUUUCUGGCGGCUCUCUCCUUGUAUCUUUUGACCAGUUUGCACCAGUUGAUUUUCAAUAUAACACAAAAUUUGAUAGGAGAUCCAUGGUAAAAAUGAAAUUAUCGAAGUUGCAGGAAAUGAAGUCAAUAAAAUUAAAAGUUCGUUGGGAAAGAAGCUGGAUUUGGUGAAUCUGCAGGAAGGCACAUUUAGUUACUGAAACACAAGAUGCAGUGGAUUUUCCUGUUGAAUCUAUAGAGUCUGGUAUUUCUUGUAAAAACUGCUAACAAAAUGGCUAAGAAGAAGAUUAAACACAGCAAGAGAAACGCAUCACCGUUUGUCAGAAUGUGACACUUCAGCAUGUGAUAGUAUGGUGCCGCCAUAAAUGUAAAGAGUAUUAUUUGUCAGUUCUUACAAUAUCCAUGAGUGGAUAUUUUGUUCCAAUUUACAUGAAAAUAGUAUCGAGCAAUUAGCAUGUGAUGUUAUCUCUCUGAUUUGAUACUAGAUUAUAAAAUAAUAGUUACAAUAAUAGUAAGGUUCUUCGGCGCA